rnacentral:rRNA from 1 species
GACAAACGCUGGCGGCGUGCCUAACACAUGCAAGUCGAGCGCGAAAGGGACCUUCGGGUCCCCUGAGAGCGGCGAACGGGUGAGUAACACGUGGGCAACCUGCCUCAAGGACUGGGAUAACUCCGGGAAACCGGGGCUAAUACCGGGCGAUGUCGUCUGGCGCAAGCCGGCCGACCAAAUGGUAGCUUCGGCCUCCGCCUUGAGACGGGCCCGCGUCCUUUCAGCAUGUUGGUGAGGUAACGGCUGACCAAGGCUACGACGGGUAGCGGGUCUGAGAGGAUGAUCAGCCACACUGGGACUGAUAUACGGCCCAGACUCCUACGGGAGGCAGCAGUGGGGAAUAUUGCGCAAUGGCCGCAAGGCUGACGCAGCGACGCCGCGUGUGGGAUGACGGCCUUCGGGUUGUAAACCACUGUCGGGAGGGACGAAUACCGGGCGACGAAUAGCCGACCCGGGGUGACGGUACCUCCAAAGGAAGCACCGGCUAACUC